CUUCACCGACCCGAGCAGGAGUGGCCGCUCCGCGUCGCGGCCCUGCCCGUAGGUCGCCAGCAGGGCCUGCGCCUC
rnacentral:antisense_RNA from 1 species